GGAUGUAGCUCAGUUGGUAGAGCAUUUGCCUUGAAUGCACAAGGCCCUGGGUUUGAUCCCCAGCACA